rnacentral:rRNA from 1 species
CUAUACCAAAGGUUGGGUUACCUAUUGCCAAGAGGACAAGGCUGGUGUAGUCUCCCAGAGGGUUACUACAUACAAUCUUGCCUAACAAUGGUAAUUCCAGCUCCAAUAGCUUAUAUUAAAGUUGCUGCAGUUAAAACGCUCAUACUUGAAUCUUGAGAUCGAACUGGCAGUCCGCCACGAGGUGAGCUACCGUCUGUCCCAGCCCCUACCUCUCGGCCCCCCCUUGAUGCUCUUGACUGAGUGUCCUGAUGGUCUGAAGCGUUCACUUUGAAAAAAUUAGAGUGUUCAAAGCAGGUAGAAAUAAUAGAAUAGGACUCUGGUUCUAUUUGUUGGUUUUGGGAACUGAGGCCAUGAUUAAGGCAGAUGGCUGGGGGCAUUCAAUUUGGGCCACUAGAGGUAAAUUCUUCGACUACCGCCAGAUGAACCAAAACAACAGCAUUUGCCAAGAAUGUUUUCAUUAAGAAUGAAAGUCAGAGUUUUGAAGAUGAUCAGAUACCAUUGUAGUUCAAACCAUAAACGAUGCAGACUAGCGAUCCUGUAGUGUUAUUCCCAUGACCUGCUGAGCAGCUUCAGGAAAAAAUUGUCUUUAGGUUCCUGGUGGGAAUAUGGUUGUAAAGCUGAAACUUAAAGGAAGUGACAGAAGGGCACUCUUCCUGGGAAGGGCGAAGCCAGAGGACACUCUGGUAGAGGUCUCUACCGAUCCUGCCAUGCAAAUCGGUCAUCCGAGCUGUGUAUAGGGGUGAAAGACUAAUCGAACCAUGUAGCAGCUGGUUUCCUUUGAAGAUUCCCUCAAGAUAGCUGGCACUUGGAAACCCCAGUUUUAUCUGGUGGAGUGAAUGAUUAGAGAUCUUGGGGCCAAAAUGAUGCUAACCUAUUCUCAAACUUUAAAUGGGAAAGAAGCCCGGGUCACGGACGUGGAGGCGGGCAUCGAAUGCGAGUCCCCAGUGAGCCACUUUUGGUAAGCAGAACUGGUGCUGCACGAUGAACUGAAAACUGGGUUAAGGCACCCAAUGCCGACAUGCAUCAACCCCUGAGAAAAGGUGUUGGUUGAUAUAGACAGUAGGACAGUGUCCAUGAAAAUCGGGAAUCCGUUAAGGAGUAUGUAACAACUCACCUACCGAAUCAACUAGCCCUGAAAAUAAGUGUUGCUGGAGUGACUGGCCCAAACUCGGCCAAUCUUUGGUGCUGAGACCCGUGGGGUUUAAGCCACAAGGAGUAGGAGGUCCACUGCUGUGCGCACGGAAGCCCAGGGCUUGGCUGAGCCGCUGCAGGUGCAGAUUUUUAUAUAUGCAUCUGCUAUUCUGAAAGCACUGCAGGGUGGCAUGUUGGCUGCAUCAGAAUGCUGGUGAUGGUUCUAAGAAUGUGGAAGGCUGAGGGAAAGCAGUUGAGCCUGAAGUGGGAGGAUGGAGGUUGAUACUGCAGUCAUGUUAUACUGAACGUGAUGUCUCAAUAAAGUAGCAAACAUACCUGAAUGGAGUCAUCAGCAUUAUUGUACAGAUCUUGGUGGUAGUUGCAAAUAUUCAAACAAGAACUUUUAGGGCCGAAUUGGAGAAGGGUUCCAUGUGAGCAGCAGAUGAACAUGGGUCAGUCAUUCCUAAUAGACUAGCGCCGUUGGGAAGAGAUAGAAGAUGGCCCCUGUUGCCUGAGCCGAUCAGAAGAGAGUCUGGUUCAGAUCUCUGAGUCCGAAUUGGCGGAAACGGUUACCCUUGCAGUGUCUAGUGCAGUAGCACACACCCCGGCUGGCCGAGUCCCCCCCAGGGGCAGCAGUGACUCUGGAUGCAAACCAGGCCCUUCAUCGGCGGUGGUCGCCUCAGCUGCAGUGGUCAACUCUUUCCGUUCCCUUCCCAGGGUUCGAGGCUGGCGUUCUGCCUCAGCUGAUGCCUAGCAGCUGACUUAGAACUGGUGCGGAAUAGGAAAACCGGACUGUUUAAUUAAAACAAAGCAUCGUAAAGGCCCGCAUUGGGUGUUUCUGCAAUGUGAUUUCUGCCCAGUGAUCUGAAUGCCUGAAUGUCAAAGUGAAGAAAUUCAAUGAAGCACAGGUAAACAGUGGGAGUAACAAUGACUCUCUUAAGGUAGCCAAAUGCCUCAUCAAAUAAUUAGUGAUGCACAUGAAUGGAUUUAUGAGAUUCCCACUGUCCCUACCUACUAUCUAGCAAAACCACAGCCAAGGGAACAGGCUUGGCAGAAUCAGCAGGAAGGAAUACCCAGGUGAGUGUGACUGUAGUGAGGCACUGUGAAGAGACAUGAGAGGUGUAGGAGUGGGAGGCCAUCAGGCUGCAGGUGAAAUAAGACUACUCAGGGUUUUUUCACUUACCCAAUAAGGUGGGGGUGAGUCCUGUGGGGCUCUCACUUCAGGAUCCAAACACCAAGUGCCCGCCGGGCACCACCCGCUCUGAGCACAGUGUUAAGUGGGGAGUUUGACUGGGGCUGAACACCUGUCAAAUGAUAAUGCAGGUGUCUUAAGGUGAGCUAUGGGAGGACAGAAACCUCCCGCGAAGGGGAAGGGCAAAUGCUCACUUGAUUUCAAUUUUCAGUAUGAAUACAGACCAUGAAAGUGGAGCCUCACGAUCCUUGUAACUUUUUGGGUUUCAUAAUGGAGGUGUCAGAAAGGUUACAACAGGGAUAAUUGGCUUGUGGCAUCCAACCAUUUAUAGUGACAUUGCGUUUUGAUCCUUCAAUGUAGCUCCUUCCUAUCAUUGUGAAGCAGAAUUCACCAAGCGUUGUAUUGUUCACCCAUUCAUCGUGAAUUUGAUCUGGGUUUCGAUCAUCAUGGGACAGGUUAGUUUUACCCUACUGAUGAGUUGUUGCAAAAGUAAUCCUGCUAAGAAUGAGAGGAACCACAGAUUCAGACAUUUGGUGUAUGUGCUUGGCUGAGGAGCCAAUGGGGAGAAGCUACCAUCUGUGGGAUUUUGACUGAACGCCUCUAAGUCAGAAUCCCCCUAACGAUACCACAGCACUGUGGAGCCUCGGUUUGCCUAGGAUAGCCGGCCUCUGGGCUGCUGCGUAGAGCCUCUCACCUCGGUACUCAAAUGGGAGCAGAAGAGGACCGCCUCUCUCUCCUAUAGUGCACCCCAUGUCUGUGGGGAACUCGAUGUUAAAUCAUUCGUAAAUUACCUGAUUCUGGGUCAGGGUUCUGUAAGUAGCAGAGCAGCUAACUCGCUGAUAUCUU